rnacentral:rRNA from 1 species
AUGCCCGCUUUUGCUCCUCCAACAAAAAUGUCCCCAUGCUGUCCGCUCCUUCUAUUUCCAGCAAUGACGACCGCUGGCCUGAGUCGCGAGGCUCUCGUGCUGCUGAUGCUCGCCGCGGCCAUUGUCGCGCUCGCGUGGCCAUGCAGCGCGCUGCAGCUGCAGGACGCCGCCCUCAUCGACGACGUCAUCAUGGAGGCCGCCGAGGAGUGCUACAACGGGAAGCACCGGCGGACGGGCGUCACGUACCCGCUCUCGCUCCCGGGCAGCCUGUCCGCCGUCGAUGGCAGCGUGUCGCGGUUCCGCUCCGGCAGCCUCAGGCGGCACGGCGUCCGUCUCUUCGGCGAGUUCUCCGUGCCCCCGGGACUCGUCGUGCCCGGCCGUGCCAGCGCGCACCUCCUCGCCGUUCGCGUCAACAUGGGCAACCUCUCGGCCGUCUAUGACGAGUACGCGGCGAGAGGCGGCGGGUACCGCAUCGUGUCGCCGGUGCUCGGGCUCAUGUUCUACGGCCUGGAGCCGCGCAACGGCACGGCGCCGCUCGAGGCCCGGGUGACGGGCGCGGCCAUCCGCGUCAACUUCUCGAUGGCGGUCCCGGCGCUCCAGCCAGGGGUCGUGCCGCUCUGCAUGGCGGUGUGGCUGAACGGCAGCGUCGCCGUGACGGACGUGCAGGCCGGGAGCAACACCUGCCACCUGAGGGACCAAGGGCACGUCGCGCUCGUCCUGGGCGGCGUAGGCGACGGCGAUGCGGUGGUGGAGGACGGGGAAGUGAGCAAGUGGAAGCUGGCAUUGUUCGGCGCGGCGCUGGGCGCGGGCGGCACGGUGCUGCUGGGGCUGGUCCUCGUGGCGAUGUUGAGCGUCCAGCGGCGCAAAUCGGAGAUGGCGGAGAUGGAGCGGCGGGCGUACGAGGAGGAGGCGCUGCGCGUGGCCAUGGUCGGCCACGUCCGUGCGCCGUCGGCGUGUGGGUCGCGCACCACGCCGGACGAGCUGGAGAACGAGUAUCGUGCCACGUUGUGA